rnacentral:rRNA from 1 species
GAUGAACGCUGGCGGCGUGCCUAAUACAUGCAAGUCGAGCGAACAGACGAGGAGCUUGCUCCUCUGACGUUAGCGGCGGACGGGUGAGUAACACGUGGAUAACCUACCUAUAAGACUGGGAUAACUUCGGGAAACCGGAGCUACUACCGGAUAAUAUAUUGAACCGCAUGGUUCAAUAGUGAAAGACGGUUUUGCUGUCACUUAUAGAUGGAUCCGCGCCGCAUUAGCUAGUUGGUAAGGUAACGGCUUACCAAGGCGCCGAUGCGUAGCCGACCUGGGAGGGUGCUCGGCCACACUGGAUCUGAGACACGGUCCAGACUCCUACGGGAGGCAGCAGUAGGGAAUCUUCCGCACUGGGCGCCAGCCUGACGGAGCACCGCCGCGUGAGUGAUGAAGGUCUUCGGAUCGUAAAACUCUGUUAUUAGCGAAGAACAAAUGUGUAAGUAACUAUGCACGUCUUGCCGGUACCUAAUCAGAACGCCACGGCUAACUACGUG